rnacentral:tRNA from 1 species
AUGAGCAUGUUGUAGUGGUUUGAAUGUUGGACUACAACUCUGGAGACCAGGGUUCGAUUCCUUGCUCAGC